GGCUCUUUGGAAAAUAAAAAUAUAGAGAGUCGAGCCUGCCCAAUGACGUAAUGUUGAAUGGCUGCGGUACUCUGACCGUGCGAAGGUAGCAUAAUCAUUUGUCUUUUAAUUGAGGACUAGAAUGAAUGGUUUGACGAAAACAAGACUGUCUUUUUCUUAUUAAGUAGAAAUUAAUUUUUAAGUGAAGAAACUUUAAUUUUUAUAAAAGACAAGAAGACCCUAUUGAGCUUUAUUAUAUAAUACUAUUUUAAUUUUAUAUUAUUAAAAGGUUUAAAGAAGUUAAUUAUAAUUUGGUUGGGGCGACUUAGGAAUAUAGAAAACUUCCUUUAUUUUUUAUAAAGAAUUAUAUAGUGAUCCGGUAUUUAUCGAUUAAAAGAAAUAGCUACCAUAGGGAUAACAGCGUAAUUUUCUUUGAGAGUUCCUAUCGAAAAGAAAGUUUGCGACCUCGAUGUUGGAUUGAAGUAUCUAAAGGGUGUAGCAGCUUUUUGGGUUGGUCUGUUCGACCAUUAAAACUUUACAU
rnacentral:rRNA from 1 species